rnacentral:rRNA from 1 species
UACGUAGGUGGCAAGCGUUGUCCGGAUUUACUGGGCGUAAAGGGCGUGCAGGCGGUCCGUUAAGUCCAGGGUGAAAGCUCCCGGCUUAACUGGGAGAGGUCCUUGGAUACUGGCGGACUCGAGGGGGGUAGAGGAGAGUGGAAUUCCUGGUGUAGUGGUGAUAUGCGUAGAUAUCAGGAGGAACACCGGUGGCGAAGGCGGCUCUCUGGGCCCUACCUGACGCUGAGACGCGAAAGCGUGGGGAG